rnacentral:rRNA from 1 species
GAUGAACGCUGGCGGCGUGCUUAACACAUGCAAGUCGAACGAAGCACUUUAUUUGAUUUUCUUCGGGAAUGAAGAUUUUGUGACUGAGUGGCGGACGGGUGAGUAACACGUGGGUAACCUGCCUCAUAGAGGGGAAUAGCCUUUCGAAAGGAAGAUUAAUACCGCAUAAGAUUGUAAUACCGCAUGGUAUAGCAAUUAAAGGAGCAAUCCGCUAUGAGAUGGACCCGCGUCGCAUUAGCUAGUUGGUGAGGUAACGGCUCACCAAGGCGACGAUGCGUAGCCGACCUGAGAGGGUGAUCGGCCACAUUGGGACUGAGACACGGCCCAGACUCCUACGGGAGGCAGCAGUGGGAAAUAUUGCACAAUGGGGGAAACCCUGAUGCAGCAACGCCGCGUGAGUGAUGACGGUCUUCGGAUUGUAAACUGCUUUUA